AGAAACUUGGAAACUAUCGCUGGAAUGAAAAAUGGACGUCUGAUAUUCGGCAUGUCAUCACGAAUAAAAAUUAUUCGUGAUGACGUAACCGAAUCUCAGACGUCCAUUUUUCGAUCCAACGGUAAUUUUCAAGCUUCC
rnacentral:pre_miRNA from 1 species